rnacentral:rRNA from 1 species
UGGCUCAGGACGAACGCUGGCGGCGUGCCUAAUACAUGCAAGUCGAACGGUCUUUCUAUGGAAGCUUGCUCACUGAGAAGAUAGUGGCGAACGGGUGAGUAACACGUGGGUAACCUGCCCAUAAGAGGGGGGAUAACAUCCGGAAACGGGUGCUAAUACCGCAUAGUUUUCUUGAUCGCAUGAUUGAGAAAGGAAAGACGGCCUUUGUGCUGUCGCUUAUGGAUGGACCCGCGGCGUAUUAGUUAGUUGGUGAGGUAACGGCUCACCAAGACGAUGAUACGUAGCCGACCUGAGAGGGUGAUCGGCCACAUUGGGACUGAGACACGGCCCAAACUCCUACGGGAGGCAGCAGUAGGGAAUCUUCCGCAAUGGACGAAAGUCUGACGGAGCAACGCCGCGUGAGUGAAGAAAAGGUUUUCGGAUCGUAAAACUCUGUUGUCAGAGAAGAACAAGUUGGAGAGUAACUGCUCCAGCCUUGACGGUAUCUGACCAGAAAGCCACGGCUAACUACGUGCCAGCAGCGGC